rnacentral:rRNA from 1 species
GAUGAACGCUGGCGGCGUGCCUAACACAUGCAAGUCGAACGGAGUCCGGCCUUUAAGACCUUCGGGUCAAAGAGGGGAAGACUGAGUGGCGGACGGGUGAGUAACACGUGGGCAACCUGGCUCAUAGAGGGGGAUAACAGAGAGAAAUUUCUGCUAAUACCGCAUAAGCACACACUGCCGCAUGGCAGAGGGUGAAAAGAGAAUCGCUAUGAGAUGGACCCGCGUCUGAUUAGCCAGUUGGCAGGGUAAGAGCCUACCAAAGCGACGAUCAGUAGCCGAUCUGAGAGGAUGAACGGCCACAUUGGGACUGAGACACGGCCCAAACUCCUACGGGAGGCAGCAGUGGGGGAUAUUGCACAAUGGGGGGAACCCUGAUGCAGCGACGCCGCGUGAGUGAAGAAGUAUUUCGGUAUGUAAAGCUCUAUCAGCAGGGAAGAUAAUGACAGUACCUGAAGAAGAAGCCCCGGCUAACUACGUG